AGAAUCAACGCUGGCGGCGUGCCUAACACAUGCAAGUCGAACGAGAAAGUGGAGCAAUCCAUGAGUAAAGUGGCGCACGGGUGAGUAACACGUGACUAACCUACCCUUGAGUGGGGGAUAACCUAGAGAAAUCUGGGCUAAUACCGCAUAACACUUACGAGUCAAAGCAGCAAUGCGCUUGGAGAGGAGUUCGCGGCCGAUUAGUUAGUUGGCGGGGUAAUGGCCCACCAAGACGAUGAUCGGUA
rnacentral:rRNA from 1 species